GACGAACGCUGGCGGCGUGCUUAACACAUGCAAGUCGAGCGGUAAGGCCCUUUCGGGGGUACACGAGCGGCGAACGGGUGAGUAACACGUGGGUGACCUGCCCUCAGCUCUGGGAUAAGCCUGGGAAACCGGGCCUAAUACUGGAUAUGACUCCAUGACGCAUGUUGUGGGGUGGAAAGCCUUGUGCGGCUGAGGAUGGGCCCGCGGCCUAUCAGCUUGUUGGUGGGGUGANGGCCUACCAAGGCGACGACGGGUAGCCGGCCUGAGAGGGCGACCGGCCACACUGGGACUGAGACACGGCCCAGACUCCUACGGGAGGGCAGCAGUGGGGAAUCUUGCGCAAUGGGCGAAAGCCUGACGCAGCGACGCCGCGUGAGGGAUGACGGCCUCGGUUGUAACGUACUU
rnacentral:rRNA from 1 species